GGGUCAGGUAUGGGGUUAUGGGGUCAGGUAUGGGGUUAUGGGGUCAGGUAUGGGGUUAUGGGGUCAGUUAUGGGGUUAUGGGGUCAGGUAUGGGGUUAUGGGGUCAGGUAUGGG